rnacentral:rRNA from 1 species
UACAGGGGGGGCAAGCGUUGUUCGGAAUUACUGGGCGUAAAGGGCUCGUAGGCGGCCAACUAAGUCGGACGUGAAAUCCCUCGGCUUAACCGGGGAACUGCGUCCGAUACUGGAUGGCUUGAGUUCGGGAGAGGGAUGCGGAAUUCCAGGUGUAGCGGUGAAAUGCGUAGAUAUCUGGAGGAACACCGGUGGCGAAGGCGGCAUCCUGGACCGACACUGACGCUGAGGAGCGAAAGCCAGGGGAGCAAACGGG